rnacentral:rRNA from 1 species
CCCUUAGAUGUUCUGGGCUGCACGCGCGCUACACUGAUGCGUUCAACGAGUUUAUGACCUUGCCCGAUAGGGUUGGGUAAUCUUUUUAAAUCGCAUCGUGAUGGGGAUAGAUUAUUGCAAUUAUUAAUCUUGAACGAGGAAUUCCUAGUAAACGCAGUUCAUCAAACUGCAUUGAUUACGUCCCUGCCCUUUGUACACACCGCCCGUCGCACCUACCGAUUGAAUGGUCCGGUGAAGCCUCGGGAUUGUGGCUGGCUUGCUUCAUUGGAGGUCGGUUGCGAGAACUUGUCUAAACCUUAUCAUUUAGAGGAAGGUGAAGUCGUANCA